UACAGAGGUCUCAAGCGUUUGUUCGGAUUCAUUGGGCGUAAAGGGUGCGUAGGUGGCGCUGUAAGUCAGGUGUGAAAUUUCGGAGCUUAACUCCGAAACUGCAUUUGAUACUGCGGUGCUCGAGGACUGGAGAGGAGACUGGAAUUUACGGUGUAGCAGUGAAAUGCGUAGAGAUCGUAAGGAAGACCAGUGGCGAAGGCGGGUCUCUGGACAGUUCCUGACACUGAGGCACGAAGGCCAGGGGAGCAAACGGG
rnacentral:rRNA from 1 species